rnacentral:misc_RNA from 1 species
CUUUUUUUUUUUUUUUUUUCAAUACAAAGGAAAAUCAAAAGUAAGAAUUUGAUACCAGUGAACUUCAUGACAGGUCAAAUGUUGGAGGUUGUCCUUGCCAAGCCUCAGGCUGAUAAAAAACCUGAUGGGGUUUAUCCUUACACAGCAGGGCUUCAUCCAAACCAUGUGCCACAUCCUUCUUAUGGUGGGUUUGCUGGAAGUCCAUAUGGCUCUGUAAGUGCUGGAUUUGGUGUUUCUGCCAGUUUUCAACAGGUAUUUUAUAGACUUAAAAUAGUUUUUCUGACCUUCUACACAAUUCUGUUAUGGUCGAACAUCAUCUUUUAAACUUCCAUGCAUGAACAGCCAGUUAUAUAUGGAAGGGGUCCAAUGCCAGCUGGGAUGCAUAUGGUGCCCAUGGUUCUACCAGAUGGUCGAAUUGGCUAUGUUCUGUAAGUUUCUAUUUCAGUCUCGUGUAACCUUUUAAAUGAGACAUAUUUUCAACCAUUGCUUCGCUGUUAUGGAAUUGUGCAGUCAGCAGCCGGGUGUACAGAUGCCACUACCUAGGCCGAGGAGAGUUGAUCGAAACAAUGGUCCAGGUGGGCCUGGGCGAGCUGGAAGUAGUGGGGAUGAUGUCAAUCGUAGCAGAAGGUAUCGCCCUUAUUAGUGGUAGAGGGCAGAAAUGUGUCAUGGUUUUUUCCCGGGAAUGAGGAGACAUUAUAGUUGGAUGACUUGUUGCGGUGAACAAAAUAACAGAGCCAUCACCCCUUUCUUCUCCCCCAUCCCAAAACUCUUUAGAACCAAAAAAAUC